UCUGGCCCCGGCCCGUUGCCUCAGCAGCCCAGUCCCGCCCCACGCCAAGGCUGCUGAGGCGACGGUCAGGGGCCAGAGGAAGACCCCUGACUCCUUCCUUGCACGCGUCCUGCUUCCGUGUUUCGACGCCUCGCCUUGCUCUCCUCAGCUCCUCGGAAUGCGUGGGGGCUUCUUACUACCUCAGUGUCCGUCGCCCUCCACUAAAUCGCGACUCUGGGAAGGAUCAUGCUGGCUUCAGUAGGUAGAUCCGAUGGAAGGAAGCAAGAGAGGAAGGGGCUGCAUAGUCCAGAAUGCAGCAGAGAGAUGGUAAAAAUUCUCCGUCUAAGCCUCAACAUGCAUUGCAUGUCUCAGCUCUUUCUUUUGAAGUCCUGUCCCACUACAUAUGAAAUGACCUGAGCUAGCCUUCUGGAGGACAAGAGAUCACAUGGAAUAGAGAUGAGCCAUCCCAGCAGAAGUUAUUCUACGUUAUCCAGGAACCAGCCAAUUGAGCAGCUGGCCUCAGACUCAUGAAUAAACUCAGCCAAGACCAGGUGAACAACUCACCUAAGCUUAGCACAAAUUGUUGACUUGCAGAAUUGUGAGCUAUAUAAAUACUUGCUAUUUUAAACCACAAAGUCUUUGGGGAUAGUUUGUUAUUUGGCAAAAGCUAACAAAUUAAAAUAAAUUGAACAAAUGUAGGAGUCAAAGCAUGAAAUUGGAUGGAGAAGGGCUUAAAAGAAAAGGGAAAUAUGUGAGACAAAUGAGAAAGAGUGCUGACCUUUGUUGUUCUAGAUGGUAGGUACAUGUGUUUCUUGUAUCCUUCCCUCUAAUUUUCUUUAUUUAAAGUUUUUAUCACUAAAGAAAUUAGGUUAAAUUAUAACUUUAAAGUGAAAAGAAUAAUGUUGGAGUUCCAAAAGGCUACGGCUCUGUCUCCUGUCCACACUCUCAUUAGGUGAUUAUACUCAUUUCCACAACUUUAAAUACUUUGGUAUGUUGAUAACUUCCAAAUUUAUAUGUUUAGCUCAGACCUCUCUUCUGAGCUCCAGACUCAUAUUUCCAGUUGCCUGCUUGACAUUUACACUUGGAUGUCUCUCAGGUGUCUCAAAUAUGACUUAUUUAAAAUCGAUCAUUUAAUCUUUCCCUCCGUUGUGGCCAGUUCCCAGGAUAGCCCACAGUGAUCCCUGCCUUGGGUGCUCACAUUGUAUGUCCCUUUCACACUGCAGCAGGAUUGAUAUGUGUUACCAUAAAAUUGUGCAGAAGUGACAGUGUGUGACUUCCAAGGCUAGGUCGUAAAAGACACUGUGGCCUUACUCUUUUUUCGGAUCACUUGCUCUGGAGGACACCAGCUGCCCUGUCACUGAGACACUCAAGCAGCCCCACAGAGAGGUCCAUGUGGUAAGGAACUGAGGCCUCAGCCAUGUGAGCGGGCCAUCUGCCCACUCCAGCUUUCCUUAUUUAGCUCAGGUUAGCUGAAGCCUGGCUGG